UACAGAGGGGGCAAGCGUUGUUCGGAAUUACUGGGCGUAAAGGGCGCGUAGGCGGCCUUCUAAGUCAGACGUGAAAUCCCCGGGCUCAACCCGGGAACUGCGUCUGAUACUGGAGGGCUUGAAUCCGGGAGAGGGAUGUGGAAUUCCAGGUGUAGCGGUGAAAUGCGUAGAUAUCUGGAGGAACACCGGUGGCGAAGGCGGCACUCUGGGCCGGUACUGACGCUGAGGAGCGAAAGCGUGGGGAGCGAACAGG
rnacentral:rRNA from 1 species